CUCUGACUCAACCUUUUGGCUGUCACUCACACACCUGCCUCAUCCUCCAAAAAAUGACUCAGCUCCUUUGGGUCAAGGCCACCCAGGACUCGGCCUUUCCUCGCUGUCCAGGUGGAAACAUGGCUGCUCCCGGCCGCCAGCCCGUUCACAAACCUACAGCAAAGGCAUGCUGCUGUCCUUGCCCGCGGUCUCUGCGCUCCUGCUGUCCCUCACUGUCUCUGCAGCAUGUCCAGCAGCCUCCAGCUUCUUUCUCUUCUUCAGGUGGUGUAGGUGGGCUUUGGAUCGUGUGUGAGCUGCCCACUCCCUGUCCCCGAUGAUGACUCUGUUGCACAGCUCACACACACGAUGGCUCCGUUUGUUCUCAUUCACGUCACACUCCAUCUUUACAGGCUCCACGGGCGGCUUGCGUCCCUGGAUGAAGCUCUCCACAAUCUCCAGAGCAGGCUUCAGCACAUCUUCUUCCCACCGCAGGAGAUCAGACACCUCCAAGCCAUACACUGGGGGCACAUUGGGGCCAGGACGUUUCAAGAAGCGGUUUCGGACCCAUUUGUUCUGCCUCCGGGCGUAUCUCUUGCUCACCUGUUUC
rnacentral:lncRNA from 1 species